ACCGGGGGCGGGGCUUGGGCUGGCUGCCGGUCGGGGCGCAACCGAGAAGGCGUCGGGUCGCAUCGGCGCAGUGAGUUGGUGCUGUGGGCGGUUCGCAGCAAGAAGUGCGAGGUACAGAUGAGCGCGAAAAGGGUCUACGUGAAGGUCCAAGGCUGAUGUCUCCAAGAGGCUUAGAACUAAUAGGCUCCUAUGAGUCCCAACCUGUGCCUUGGGAUUUGAGGACUUCUUUCCUGAGCUUUACCUCUGACCCAGGGCUGUGAUUCUGCCUCAGAGAUGAACAUUGGCAUAGACUGUCACCUUUCUCCAGUAUGCUUGGGCUACACAUGGCAAGAAGAAGAGCUCGGAGUCCAGAAUUCUGCUCCAAGAGGUUCAGAGGUCUCCAGAUCCGGAGGAAAAACAUCCAGACCUGAUGUUGAGGCCAUCACACCAUCCAAGACUUUGAUCUUAAUGCUCUUAGUAGCCUACUAUAGCCAAACCUGAAUCCAAUUCUGGAGUCGGUCACCAUUACCCUGUUUACCCCCUCACAACCGAAGCUGACUAGGAAUUACCAUUUACCAGAAGACUCCA